rnacentral:piRNA from 1 species
ACACACAGUCACUAUCUUCGA